UAGACCCCUCGAGGGUUGUCAAGUACCAGAUUAACAUUUGUUCCUUCCACGGGAGGCAUCAGAAUCAGAGGUUCCUGCAACUUAUUCUUUUAUCUUUCAAUGCCCCUUGACAAUCAUUAUCCUACCUGAAUGUUUGCUCUCUCUUUUUUUUUCAACAGCUUGGGUGGGUUCACACGUGGUUAUUAGAUGAGAUGUGAACCGUGAGAUGCAAUUCAAUCUAUCUAAGAAACCACGACCCUUCUUUUCUGUUCUCGGUUCAGGCAUUUCUUU
rnacentral:lncRNA from 1 species